AACGAACGCUGGCGGCAUGCCUAACACAUGCAAGUCGAACGAGACCUUCGGGUCUAGUGGCGCACGGGUGCGUAACGCGUGGGAACCUGCCCUUAGGUUCGGCAUAACUCCCCGAAAGGGGUGCUAAUACCGGAUAAUGUCUUCGGACCAAGGAUUUAUCGCCUUUGGAUGGGCCCGCGUUGGAUUAGCUAGUUGGUAGGGUAAAAGCCUACCAAGGCGACGAUCCAUAGCUGGUCUGAGAGGAUGAUCAGCCACACUGGGACUGAGACACGGCCCAGACUCCUACGGGAGGCAGCAGUGGGGAAUAUUGGACAAUGGGCGAAAGCCUGAUCCAGCAAUGCCGCGUGAGUGAUGAAGGCCUUAGGGUUGUAAAGCUCUUUUACCCGGGAUGAUAAUGACAGUACCGGGAGAAUAAGCUCCGGCUAACUCCGUG
rnacentral:rRNA from 1 species